rnacentral:lncRNA from 1 species
ACUCUUCCAUGACUGCAUCUUUAGAAACACAAGUGCUUCUCCAGUGGAGAUCCUUUGGGUAUUUUAAGAGAGAUGAAUACAGUUAGAUGGGUGUGUGCUUAUCACUUAAUAAUAAUGAUUAUGAUGAUCAUGAUAACAGUCUGACUAUAGUUUGUUCUUAGAAAGUAAAUGGAAGACACUUCUCCAAAAGAGCCAUGCAAUGAUUGGGGAUGAUGUUGCCAACAAACAUCCCAAUGACAACUAAAUCAAAGCAGUGACCAAUAGUUGUGUCAUAAUGGAGGCAGCAGCUGUAGAUGUCUAUCGUCAUGUAAAAUAUAAAACUGUGCUUCAAGUCCUAU